AUUACGAUUAGGUUAUAGAUUAUAGUGCAGCUUUGUUUCAGGAGAGUCAGGUUUGAUUCCUGGCCUGUGCUGUGUCAGCUGAUCUCAACUGGUAUGACAGUAGGGGCAUUACAAUCGACGAUAAAAUCCUGACCUAAGGAACGGUAAAAAGUAACCAUGGUUCCAAUUCCUGAUCACUAGACAGGGGCCACUGCAAGAGCUACAGAUAAUGAGUGUUGCUGGCAAGAUUAGCAUUUAAUGCUCAGCUAUAGCUGCCCUAGGAAAAUGAUGGUUGGCCAUCUUCUUGAAUAGCUGCAAUCCAUGUGGUGAACGUGUUCCCACAGAACUCCUUAUCUAAGGAGUGCCAGGAUUUUGACCCAGCAACAAGCAUGGAACACUGUGUGCCCUGGGGCUGUUUACUGCUGACGUCAGAUGCCCAAAAAUCAAGCACAAAGCUCAAGAGACACAGGUGUACCAUGGUUUACAGGAGGCAUGUUUUGGGACUAUCAAAUGUGGAAAGAUGGCAACUGCAAGCAGAGAUCCAGAGGUUGUUACGGCAAGGAGAGAACAAAUGCCAGGUCUUGCCCUUUCUUUCCCACUCCUUGAUUGAUUGUAACAAGUAUUUUUGAAAUUGAUAAAGACAAAAGGCGUCAA